GACGAACACUGGCGGCGUGCUUAACACAUGCAAGUCGUACGGUAAGGCCCUUUCGGGGGUACACGAGUGGCGAACGGGUGAGUAACACGUGAGUAACCUGCCCACAACUUUGGGAUAACGCUAGGAAACUGGUGCUAAUACUGGAUAUGUGCUCCUGCUGCAUGGUGGGGGUUGGAAAGCUCCGGCGGUUGUGGAUGGACUCGCGGCCUAUCAGCUUGUUGGUGGGGUAGUGGCCUACCAAGGCGGCGACGGGUAGCCGGCCUGAGAGGGUGACCGGCCACAUUGGGACUGAGAUACGGCCCAGACUCCUACGGGAGGCAGCAGUGGGGAAUAUUGCACAAUGGGCGCAAGCCUGAUGCAGCAACGCCGCGUGCGGGAUGACGGCCUUCGGGUUGUAAACCGCUUUCAGCAGGGACGAAGCUUUUUGUGACGGUACCUGCAGAAGAAGCACCGGCUAACUACGUG
rnacentral:rRNA from 1 species